rnacentral:rRNA from 1 species
GACGAACGCUGGCGGCGUGCUUAACACAUGCAAGUAGAACGGAGUGGCGAACGGGGGAGUAACACGUGGGUGACCUGCCCUGCACUUCGGGAUAAGCCUGGGAAACUGGGUCUAAUACCGGAUAGUGUGGGAUGGGCCCGCGGCCUAUCAGCGUGUUGGUGGGGUAAUGGCCUACCAAGGCGGCGACGGGUAGCCGGCCUGAGAGGGUGGACGGCCAGAUUGGGACUGAGACAAGGCCCAGACUCCUACUGGAGGCAGCAGUGGGGAAUAUUGCACAAUGGGCGGAAGCAUGAUGCACCAACGCCGCGUGGGGGAUGAAGGCCGUCUGGUUGUAAACUCCUUUCACCAUCGACACGGUAGAUGGUGAAGGAGCACCGGCUAACUACGUGCCAGCAGCCGCGGUAAUAC